AUGCAUGAGAGACUCAGAGAGAGGCGGAGACACAGGCAGAGGGAGAAGCAGGCUCGCUGCAGGGAACCCGAUGCAGGACUCGAUCCCAGGAUUUGGGAUCACGACCUGACCCAAAGGCAAACACAACCACUGAGCCCCUCAGGUGCCCCUGAAGCUUCCUUCCAUUUCAAAUUGACACUUGCUUUUUUUUUUUUUUUUCUUCUUGUUUUUCAGGUGGGAGGUCACUAUCCUCAUCUUCACUGCUCUCUUGUUCAUGAACCAGAUACUUUGGCUGCCAGCAUUCAGCAGCAGCACCUAAUUUCUUGCCUAAGGUCAGCCUUCAGGGAUUUCUGGGUCAUCUUCAUCAUCACACCAUACUAUCUAUGGCUGGAUCUACAAUUAUUAAAGACUCCUGCCAAGGGAGUGCAGACUGUGCUAGCAGAGCCUGAGAUGUCUAGCUGCUGACAGGCCCCCGUUACCUGGCUAUCCUGUGAUCCUCUCCAGCAUUUUCAGAGGUAAAAUCCACACAGGCUGCAUCUCCCCCCAGUGGCCACAGAUGUGUGACUCUGAAAGAGAGUUUCAUAGAGGGGAGAAACCAGCCAGGUGCUGGCCAAUUGCAUGUGGUCCAGCACUUUUGCAAGGGAGUGAUUUUCCACAAAGGGAUAUAGGCUUGGUCUGGUCAAGCGGAAUGAAAAGGACAGGGAGUGAUAAGUGGGAGCCAUGGAGGGCUGGCUCUUGGGUGAAAGGACAGAUUGGCUCCCUGGGAGGUGUGGGAACAUGGGGAGAGCCAAUGGUGGUGUACUGGUCCUAGGAGCUCACUGUAUGCCACACCUUGACAUUCGAUUGCUUGAUCUGGACAUAUCCCAGGGUCAGUGGUGGCAGGGUCAAUAGAGGCAUGCCUGGACAGGGGGUAGCAUUCCAAGCAUCAGUGCUUUACCAACAAGUGAGGAAGUUUAUAAAAAUUUUAAUGUCUGUUGGGGUGCCUGGUUGGUUCAGUCAAUUAAGUGUCUUAACUCUUGAUUUCAGCUCAGGUCUUGAUCUCAGUCUGUGAGAUCGAGUCCCGCAUUGGGGUUCUGUGCUUAGUGCUCAGCAGGGAGUUUGCCUGAGAUUCUCUCCUUCUGUCCCUCACUCUGCUCACACUCUCUCUCCCUUUCUCUAAAGUAAAUAAGUAAAUCUUUAAACAUUUUUUAUGUCUGUUACAGCUGUUCUAAGCAUGAGCUCUGAUUACAGGAUAUAUGUUUUUGGAUUUUUUUUCCAGCUCUUUGAAGAUAAUAUAUCACACUCUUUGGUUUCAUUAUUCUGUGAGAGAUCAACUACUAGUCAAAUUGUCAAUUCUGUAUCAAUAAUUUGUUUUUUUUCUCUACAGUGUUUUUUUUUUUUUGUAUAUAUUUUAUUGGAGUUCGAUUUGCCAACAUAUAGCAUAACACCCAGUGCUCAUCCGGUCAAGUGCCCCCCUCAGUGCCUA
rnacentral:lncRNA from 12 species